rnacentral:rRNA from 1 species
GAUGAACGCUGGCGGCGUGCCUAAUACAUGCAAGUCGAGCGAACAGAUGAGGAGCUUGCUCCGCUGACGUUAGCGGCGGACGGGUGAGUAACACGUGGAUAACCUACCUAUAAGACUGGGACAACUUCGGGAAACCGGAGCUAAUCCCGGAGAAUAUAUUGAACCGCAUGGGUCAAUAGUGAAAGACGGUUUUGCUGUCACGUAUAGAUGGAUCCGCGCCGCAUUAGCUAGUUGGUAAGGUAACGGGUUACCAAGGCAACGAUGCGUAGCCGACCUGAGAGGGUGAUCGGCCACCCUGGAGCUUGGCCACGCUCCAUGCUCCUGCGGGAGGCCCCAGUAUCGUACCUUCCGCAGUGGGCGAGAGCCUUACGGAGCAACGCGGCGUGAGUUAUGACGGUCUUCCGAUCGUAAAGCUCUGUUAUUAGUGAAGAACAAAUGUGUAAGUAACUAUGCACGUCUUGACGGCACCUGAUCAGAAAGCCACGGCUAACUACGUG